ACUCCUACGGGAGGCAGCAGUGGGGAAUACUGCACAAUGGGGGAACCCGAUGAUGCAGCCAUGCCGCGUGUGUGAAGAAGGCCUUCGGGUUGUAAAGCACUUUCAGUAGGGAGGAAGGUAGUGUAGUUAACACCUGCAUUAUUUGACGUUACCUACAGAAGAAGCACCGGCUAACUCCGUGCCAGCAGCCGCGGUAAUACGGAGGGUGCGAGCGUUAAUCGGAAUUACUGGGCGUAAAGCGCAUGCAGGCGGCCUGUUAAGUCAGAUGUGAAAGCCCGGGC
rnacentral:rRNA from 1 species